CUGCUAAGGCCUCAACUGGAGUACUGUGUCCAGAUCUGAGCACCACACUUUGGGAAAGAUGUGGACAAAUUGGAGAAAGUCCAGAGGAGAGAAACAAAAAUGAUUAAAGGUCUAGACAACAUGACCUAUGGGGAAAGAUUGAUGAAUUGGGUUCACUUAGUACAGAGAAGAGAGGAGUGAGAGGACAUGAUAGCACUCUUCAAGUAUGUAAAAGGUUGUUAUAAAGAGGGUGAUAAAUUGUUCUUAUCCACUGAGGACAGGACAAGAAGUAAAUUGCAGCAAGGGAGAUUUAGGUUAUACGUUAGAAAAACCUUAACUCUAAGAGUAGUUAAACACUGGAACAAAUUAUCUAGGUUGUGGAACCUCUAUCAUGGAAGGUUUUUAAGAACAGGUUACAGAGUAACAGCCGUGUUAGUCUGUAUUCGCAAAAAGAAAAGGAGUACUUGUGGCACCUUAGAGACUAACCAAUUUAUUUGAGCAUAAGCUUUCAUGAGCUACAGCUCAGUGAGAGAUCCCAGAGAGAUGGGAGAGAUCUCGUGUAGCUCACGAAAGCUUAUGCUCAAAUAAAUUGGUUAGUCUCUAAGGUGCCACAAGUACUCCUUUUCUUUUUAAGAACAGGUUAGACAUGCCUAUCAGGGAAUUAGUCCUGCUUGAAUGCAGGGGGCUGGACAAGACAAGUUAUUGAGGUCCUUCUUGUCCUACAUAUCUGAGAUUCUAUGAUAUGGGAAGAACAAGAGUAUGAAAUUAUUUAAUACCACACAAAUAGCAUGCUAUUUGCGUUUUGAUAAAGCUAUAGAAAAUGAACAUAUCCUCCCUAAAUAGCUGUCCAUAAGUAAUUCCGUCAAGACAUUAUGAUAAAUUAAAUGAAAACAUGAAUAAUUUGUGAAUGUCAAGAUAUAAUUCAAAAUGGAAGAUAUGCAUGGUGGGGUUUGAUAGGGAGGCUUCAACUACACACAAUAGUUGCACCAGUCUAAAACUGGUUUUAGUUGGUGUAAAUCCUGCAUGUGGUACUCUUAAAUCAAUUUACAACUGGCUUACCUUGAUUUAGAAAUUGGAUCUUAUCAGUUGUUCCCUGUGGGGAUCUUGAGCCCCAGCUUUUAUCAUCUAAUAUAUAAUUAGAGAAGAAGCGUAAGGGAACAUUGAGAGCCCAAAGCAUUUUAUGGGGAAGAUGCAUCAGAAAAGAUGCCAGAUUUUCCCAAGUCAUCAUUGACCUAACCAAGAACCUGGGAUGUGGGGUGCUGCAGUUUUCCCUUUAAAGGAGUUCUGGGGAGUUUUGCACUUAGGUGUGGCAAUGUUGAGCAUUGCAAUACUUAGCUUUUAGGUGUCCUGCUGCCUAAUGGAGUCCUCAGCACCCUAGGUCCCCUUAUACGUUCAUAGGGAGAAUUAGGCAUGCAAGAAACAGAUUUACAGAAACCACACUGAGCAGAAAACCACUUAAAUUAGCCAGUAGGAAAUGCCAAGGAGAGGGUGGGUGGCCUAAGCUUCAAGGUAUUCUGGGACACAGCCAUCCAUCCAAAUUCAUGAUCUGGCUGCCCCCAGAUAGGUUUUGGGCAGGUUAGGUAUGUUCUGAGCUUAGCUAUCAGAUCAGACACCACAGGCAAGACAGGUCAGGGAGCACCUAGUAUGAGACUCCUGUCAGGGCUUAGAUGUGUGCUAAGGCACUGGGCAGUUCAUCAGCAUUGAAAUUUAAGUGGUUUUAUGUAUGCCCACUGGUAGAAACUUAAGCAUGUACAGGGUUAGGUGUCAGCUAAGUGGAGGUUUCAAGGAUUUAAGUGGCACCUAGAGAGGCAGGCCCCUAUGUCACUUUGUGCACGUAGCCCUUAGCCCCUGAAAAGGCCUUGACUAGUGAGAAUCAGCAAAUUUGUUACUGCUAAUUUCCUUUCUGAUAGUGUUUCCAAUAAUUCAGGACUUCCGGGCUGCUCUUCUCCCUCUAGCUCCCAGAAGCAGAUCAGUAUUUUCGAGCUGGGUGGAUUGGCCACAACCCUUCUGUUCCUGCUGGCUACCAGGGGAUUUCUUCAAACUUCCUUGGACGCAUCUAAUACUGGACCAAUGUCAACCUAAAACAGGACUCUAAUUUUGAACAGGAAUGGUAAUUUCUAUUUAAAAACAACUUUGCUUUCAUUCACCUGGAUUGGACAAAUAUCCAUGAAAUAUGACUUCUGACCAGGACAGAAAGAAUUGUAAGAAAAUGGUUUCUAAACCAGACAUUUGAAAUUUCCCGAAGAUAAGCUAUUCAGGGCCAGAGCAUGUCAAAUCUUCACAAGGUUUCACAAAUCUUUAAAGAUAUCUUGACUUUUGAUUUAAACUUGAAUUAAGUGUAGUUUUUAAGGGGAAUGUGAGGCACUGUAUCUGUGAAUGUCUGCUUGAAAAAAGUAUAGUUAGCAGGAUAAGGCAAACUUUAAUAAGGAGUGAUGUAACUAGAACAAGAGUCCAAGAUAUUCUAAGUCUACAGCUAUGCGUUUGGAAUUAUGCAGCGAGAUAAGUGGUGAAGAUGUAGUUUAGAUAUAUUAAUCCAAAUGGAAAAUUUCAACAUUAGAAAAACCAUUCAGGUUUUAAGUUCCCCAACACACUUAAAGAAUCUAACAGAAUAAGUGAAAGUUCCCACAAGAAAAGGAGUCAGUUCUGAAUUGUACAAUGAGAAUAUCACUAAAAGUAAAAGACGAACAUAACUUGUUAGAUAAUCUAGCAUAUCACCUUGCCAAUGCAAAAUUGUUCCUUUGGACUGUAUACUAAUGUACCUGUUGGAGAAGAAAAAAAGCAAAUCCCAGUUCCACCCUGAAAAGUGAUGCAGUUCCUACCAAUUUUGAGAUACAUAUGAAAUCAUCGGAAAUAAGACUGCAUUAUUUCACACUGAUACAGAAAUUUUCCAUUGACUCAAGAAAUAUAACUAUUCAAGCUCUAAAUAACCAUGAAACUAGCUUCUCAUUAGCUUUCCCUCAAUUUUUUCACCCUCACACACAAAAUUUCCCUCCCUGCAACCCAAAUUGUCAUGCUCACCUACCCAAAAACUAAGUUUUUUUUUUGUUUGUUUUUUGGUUUUUUUUUAAUACUUGGGAAGCAUAAGUAGAUAAAUUAUUGCCCCACAAGUGGAAGUUUAGAAAUACAGUAUUUUAUUUUUUUAACAUGUUAAAUUAGGGAAGCUUUCAAAGUUCAGGAAUGGACAGGAAAGUAAAUGCUGUAAUAAUAUCUUGUAUCACCUUGCCACAAAAGCAAAAUCAAGUUUUGAGAUUCCCACCUCAACAGUAGAACACAUUUUGAGGCCUGCAAUGAAUACACAUUUUCAGAAGUUUUAUUUUAAAUAUGUACUUUGCCAGUCAACCUUUUUAGGAAUCAGCAAGUGAUAAUGGGGCUAUCAUACCACAUCUCUAUAUAGGAUACCCAGGCUCAAGGCUAACCGUAGGCUCUUCUAUACCAGAUGCAAUAUCCAUUCUUUCCUACUCCUUCAUUCCACAAACUGCUUACACAUAUCCCCUUAAAGUGUUCAGAUAGGGAAACAUUCCAUCACAGCCUUGGACUAGUCUUUCACAUUAGAACUGGUUUUUGUGCACAUGGAAAGAUUUGUGUGAGAAAGGCAAUCCAAAACGGAGGCAUAAGUGAAACGUCCAUUAGCCCUGCUCAGAACAGUCCUAGUAGUUGU